UGGGGAAUAUUGCACAAUGGGCGCAAGCCUGAUGCAGCCAUGCCGCGUGUAUGAAGAAGGCCUUCGGGUUGUAAAGUACUUUCAGCGGGGAGGAAGGCGAUAAGGUUAAUAACCUUGUCGAUUGACGUUACCCGCAGAAGAAGCACCGGCUAACUCCGUGCCAGCAGCCGCGGUAAUACGGAGGGUGCAAGCGUUAAUCGGAAUUACUGGGCGUAAAGCGCACGCAGGCGGUCUGUCAAGUCGGAUGUGAAAUCCCCGGGCUCAACCUGGGAACUGCAUUCGAAACUGGCAGGCUAGAGUCUUGUAGAGGGGGGUAGAAUUCCAGGUGUAGCGGUGAAAUGCGUAGAGAUCUGGAGGAAUACUGGUGGCGAAGGCGGCCCCCUGGACAAAGACUGACGCUCAGGUGCGAAAGCGUGGGGAGCAAACA
rnacentral:rRNA from 1 species